UGGCUCAGGAUGAACGCUAGCUACAGGCUUAACACAUGCAAGUCGCGGGGCAGCAUUUCUUUAGCUUGCUAAGGAAGAUGGCGACCGGCGCACGGGUGAGUAACGCGUAUCCAACCUGCCCUUGUCCACGGGAUAACCCGGUGAAAACCGGCCUAAUACCGUAUGAGGUCACAAGCGGACAUCCAACUGUGACGAAAGGUUUGGCGGACAAGGAUGGGGAUGCGUCCGAUUAGCUUGACGGCGGGGUAACGGCCCGCCGUGGCGACGAUCGGUAGGGGUUCUGAGAGGAAGGUCCCCCACAUUGGAACUGAGACACGGUCCAAACUCCUACGGGAGGCAGCAGUGAGGAAUAUUGGUCAAUGGGCGAGAGCCUGAACCAGCCAAGUAGCGUGCAGGAUGACGGCCCUAUGGGUUGUAAACUGCUUUUGUGCGGGGAUAAAGUGUGGGACGCGUCCCAUAUUGCAGGUACCGCAUGAAUAAGGACCGGCUAAUUCCGUGCCAGCAGCCGCGGUAAUACGGAAGGUCCGGGCGUUAUCCGGAUUUAUUGGGUUUAAAGGGAGCGUAGGCCGGAGAUUAAGCGUGUUGUGAAAUGCCGCGGCUCAACCGUGGCACUGCAGCACGAACUGGUUUUCUUGAGUGCGCGCGACGCAGGCAGAAUUCGUGGUGUAGCGGUGAAAUGCUUAGAUAUCACGAGGAACCCCGAUUGCGAAGGCAGCUUGCGGGAGCGCAACUGACGCUGAAGCUCGAAGGUGCGGGUAUCGAACAGGAUUAGAUACCCUGGUAGUCCGCACGGUAAACGAUGGAUGCCCGCUGUUCCGGCCUUAGCUGGAGUGGCCAAGCGAAAGCGUUAAGCAUCCCACCUGGGGAGUACGCCGGCAACGGUGAAACUCAAAGGAAUUGACGGGGGCCCGCACAAGCGGAGGAAACAUGUGGUUUAAUUCGAUGAUACGCGAGGAACAUUACCCGGGCUUGAACUGCAGAGGAAUUUGGUGGAGACACCAAGGCCCUUCGGGGCCUCUGUGGAGGUGCUGCAUGGUUGUCGUCAGCUCGUGCCGUGAGGUGUCGGCUUAAGUGCCAUAACGAGCGCAACCCCUCUCCGUAGUUGCCAUCAGGUGAUGCUGGGCACUCUGCGGACACUGCCACCGCAAGGUGUGAGGAAGGUGGGGAUGACGUCAAAUCAGCACGGCCCUUACGUCCGGGGCUACACACGUGUUACAAUGGGUGGUACAGAGAGCGGGCCGUCCGCAAGGUCGGUCAAAUCCUAAAAGCCAUCCCCAGUUCGGAUUGGGGUCUGCAACCCGACCCCAUGAAGCUGGAUUCGCUAGUAAUCGCGCAUCAGCCAUGGCGCGGUGAAUACGUUCCCGGGCCUUGUACACACCGCCCGUCAAGCCAUGAAAGCCGGGGGUGCCUGAAGUCCGUGACCGCGAGGGUCGGCCUAGGGCAAAACUGGUGAUUGGG
rnacentral:rRNA from 1 species